rnacentral:lncRNA from 7 species
ACCACUAUCGCAUGAUUGCCGGGGUGCCUCACCGGCCAAUCCCCGAAACGCCGAGACCUAGCCCUAUAAAAGAAAGUCGUGACCCCUAUAGGCUAUAGCCUCAUCAAAACGCUGCAGGUCCUUUGGUUCUGAGUCACCACUGCAGAAGCAGAAGGAUUAAGCACAGAGAUUGAGACUUGCCAUCGGGGAUCCGCCCUUCAUCGAUGACUCGACGUUCGACUGCAUACCUCAAGUGCGCGCAUACGACGUCAUUUCCUCCGCGCUGGCCAUGGCGCCGCCGGCUGGCAUCGUCGGAGUCAAGGGAGAUGUGUUGCAGCCGUCGGAUCGUGGACAAGUGGUGGGGAUUAGGUGGGGAAUAACGUUUCGGUCAGGGAGCGCGUGGUCCAUCCGAUCUGAAACUAAGGGCCAUAGCUGGAUCUCGCCUUAAUUAAACCUGGGCGGCUGAUCUUGGAUCAGAUGAAUGUGAUCGCAUACCGAUUCGCACCCAUGUGCAUCUAAUCUAGACCGUCGCUAUCCAAUCUCGUGGCCCGGAGGUUAAGAUACCCAUUCGGUCGAGCAAUUUUGCAUAAGAGCCCCUCAAGGUAGUGCAUAUCAACCCGCCAUCCCUUAGUUAUGGGAAG